rnacentral:rRNA from 1 species
UACGAAGGGGGCUAGCGUUGUUCGGAUUUACUGGGCGUAAAGGGCGCGUAGGCGGUCAGCACAAGUCUGGUGUGAAAUCUUUCGGCUCAACCGGAAGCGGUCACUGGAUACUCUCGGGCUUGAGUCCGGAAGAGGAGAGUGGAAUUCCUGGUGUAGCGGUGGAAUGCGCAGAUAUCAGGAGGAACACCAAUGGCGAAGGCAGCUCUCUGGUACGUGACUGACACUGAGACGCGAAAGCGUGGGGAGCGAACAGG